rnacentral:rRNA from 1 species
GACGAACGCUGGCGGCGUGCCUAACACAUGCAAGUCUUGGGAGAAAGAGGUAGCAAUAUCUUGAGUAAACCGGCGCAAGGGUGAGUAACACGUAGGUAAUCUACCCAAAGGACGGGAAUAACUUCGAGAAAUCGAGGCUAAUGCCCGAUGAUGUUCCGAUACAGCAUUGCAACGGAAUGAAAUACCGAAAGGUGCCUGUGGAUGAGCCUGCGUCCCAUUAGGUAGUUGGUGAGGUAACGGCUCACCAAGCCGACGAUGGGUAGCUGGUCUGAGAGGACGAUCAGCCACACUGGAACUGAGACACGGUCCAGACUCCUACGGGAGGCAG